rnacentral:rRNA from 1 species
GACAGAGGGUGCAAACGUUGUUCGGAAUUACUGGGCGUAAAGCGUGCGCAGGCGGUGAUGUAAGUCAGAUGUGAAAUCCCCGGGCUCAACCUGGGAACUGCAUUUGUGACUGCAUCGCUGGAGUGCGGCAGAGGGGGAUGGAAUUCCGCGUGUAGCAGUGAAAUGCGUAGAUAUGCGGAGGAACACCGAUGGCGAAGGCAAUCCCCUGGGCCGGAACUGACGCUCAUGCGCGAAAGCGUGGGGAGCAAACAGG